UCAAACUUGGUCAUUUAGAGGAAGUAAAAGUCGUAACAAGGUUUCCGUAGGUGAACCUGCGGAAGGAUCAUUAACGAGUAACUGAACAGGUUGUAGCUGGCCUUUCGGGGCAUGUGCACGCCUGGCUCAUCCACUCUUCAACCUCUGUGCACUUGUUGUAGGUCGGUCGAAGGGUCACUGUGUUAAACGGUGACUCGGAAGCCUUCCUAUGUUUUACUACAAACGCUUCAGUUUAAGAAUGUAAUCUCUGCGUAUAACGCAUUUAUAUACAACUUUCAGCAACGGAUCUCUUGGCUCUCGCAUCGAUGAAGAACGCAGC
rnacentral:misc_RNA from 1 species